rnacentral:misc_RNA from 1 species
UACGGAGGGUGCAAGCAUUGAUCGGAAUUACUGGGCGUAAAGGGCGCGUAGGCGGCGAGAAAAGUCAGAUGUGAAAUUCCGGGGCUCAACCCCGGAGCUGCAUUUGAAACUUUCUUGCUAGAGUGUAGUUAGGGAAAACGGAAUUCCACGUGUAGCGGUGAAAUGCGUAGAUAUGUGGAAGAACACCGGUGGUGAAGACGGUUUUCUGGGCUAUAACUGACGCUGAGGCGCGAGAGCUAGGGGAGCAAACAGG